UACGGAGGAUCCAAGCGUUAUCCGGAUUUAUUGGGUUUAAAGGGUGCGUAGGCGGGCACGUAAGUCAGUGGUGAAAGCUUGCGGCUCAACCGUAAAAUUGCCAUUGAAACUAUGGGUCUUGAGUGUAAAUGAGGUAGGCGGAAUGUGUUGUGUAGCGGUGAAAUGCUUAGAUAUAACACAGAACACCGAUUGCGAAGGCAGCUUACUAGGAUACAACUGACGCUGAGGCACGAGAGCGUGGGGAUCAAACAGG
rnacentral:rRNA from 1 species